GCCUCCGUGGCGCAAUCGGCUAGCGCGUUCGGCUGUUAACCGAAAGGUUGGUGGUUCGAAAAAAGCCCACCCGGGGGCG